CAUAGUCCAUGUCUUCAAAGAGCUCCCGUCCUGUGCACAAGCAACGGGAGGCACAUCAGUGAUCCCACAGGAGCAAGGCUGUGGCUGCUGUAGAGGAGGUUGCUCUCUGCAGAAUUUGGAGGCAGGCUUGGGUUUUUCUUCAUGGGAAAGGGGUGACACCUGGAAUUCCUUCAGAAGAGGGAAACCCCUUCAUUACCCAGCCAGUGAAGGGCUCCAGUGUAAACAGCCUGGGAUGCGAAACAGAGUGGCUGCAGCACACCUCACCAUGUAAUUUGCUGAUGCCAGGGCUUCCGCUCUGGGAGGAUUCGAACACCUUCUGUCUAUCUCCACUCAUCUGCCACCGAGCGCCAAUCUUGGAUAACUGUAUUUCUAUUUAGAUGUAAGAAAUCUGGCUGAUUUAACAUGUGUUUUGCAGAAAUAGAAUUGUUAUUUUGUGGUUCCAUUGCGUAUUCGGUCUCUCUUCCUCCAAUUUUGCUGUGAGCUCUUUGAGUCAGAAAUCAAAUGGACAGUUCUCCUCUGGCUCCUCUACCUCGCACACCACCGAUGUGUCUGUCGCUGCUGAGGGUGUUAAUUCUGUUGGGCUCACAAAACAAUACUCCAAAGCCAGGCACUUGGACAUGCUGGGUACUUUGAACUAAAAAAAGCAGCCUCAGAACCAGGGUCUCUCUGACUUUCUCCCCGUCCCCUGUCUUUUGCUCCCCCCUCCCCUAAGUGCUGGGAGGGGCCGUCUCUGAAGCUCCGUGGGUGUCCACCUGAGGGCCGCAUCCUCUGGAGGACCAGCUCUCAGCACAGAGGACUAGAGCGACCUCACAUCCACAGUCCACACGGACUCUGUCCCAGGCUUUUUUUUUUUGGCUCAUUCAUUUCCCGAAAAUACUUUCCUUUUUUUCUGUUUUGCCUACACCCCGUCUCCCCUGCCAGAAGGUAUAGAAGCUUCUAACUUGCAUCAGGUUAUCCGGUCCCCACUCUCCCAGGAUGCAGUAAACCUGUGUGCCUUUUCUACGAAUCUACUGCCAUUUAUUUAAUGAGACUGUUAUUGAACCUUCAGAGGGUACAGGGGAUGCCCCUUCUGCCCCUGAAGUGCCCUGAAGAUCCACCGUUGGGGGGGGGGCCUGAGGGCCACACCCGGGCAGAAGGGGCUGGGGCUUCGCUUGUGUCUUCACUUUAGUCUCCCGGGGUGUCGGAGCUGCACGGAUGUGGCAGAGUGGAGAAGGGUGGGCAGUGUCCAGCUGAGGGACACCCUGGGCCCUGGGAGCUGUGUCGAUGGGUCCCAAAGCCUACUCGCGAGAUCUCUGCAAGAGACGUGGUUCCUCACUGGAGAAGUUCCUAUAUGGGAGUCACAGAGGAUCAUUGAAGUGUGGAGGCUGGACAUCUUCUCCACUGGAAAGGACCUCAAGUUCAUCACCUUCAACUCUCACCCACUGCAAGAAUCUCUGACAAGUUUCAUCCAGUCUUUAUUUGAAUGCCUUCAACGACAGAGAGUUCAAUACCAAUAAAACAGGGCUUUUGGUGACUUAAUCAUCUUUAUUCUCUCCACGUCCUCUUUUUUGUCUUCCUAAAUAAAAUGUGAUUUUAAUCAA